rnacentral:rRNA from 1 species
GAUGAACGCUGGCGGCGUGCCUAAUACAUGCAAGUCGAGCGAACAGACGAGGAGCUUGCUCCUCUGACGUUAGCGGCGGACGGGUGAGUAACACGUGGAUAACCUACCUAUAAGACUGGGAUAACUUUGGGAAACCGGAGCUAAUACCGGAUAAUAUAUUGAACCGCAUGGUUCAAUAGUGAAAGACGGUUUUGCUGUCACUUAUAGAUGGAUUCGCGCCGCAUUAGAUAGUUGGUAAGGUAACGGCUUACCAAGGCGACGAUGCGUAGCCGACCUGAGAGGGUGAUCGGCCACACUGGAACUGAGACACGGUCCAGACUCCUACGGGAGGCAGCAGUAGGGAAUCUUCCGCAAUGGGCGAAAGCCUGACGGAGCAACGCCGCGUGAGUGAUGAGGGUCUUCGGAUCGUAAAACUCUGUUAUUAGGGAAGAACAAAUGUGUAAGUAACUAUGCAAGUCUUGACGGUACCUAAUCAGAAAGCCACGGCUAACUACGUG